GUCGGGAUAGCUCAGUUGGUAGGAAA
rnacentral:tRNA from 1 species